rnacentral:tRNA from 1 species
GGUCGCUUAGCUCAGUUGGUUAGAGCGUGGUGCUAAUAAGCAUGUCUGGAUAACGCCAAGGUCGCAGGUUCGACCCCUGCAGUGAUCA